CGCUGGUCCAAUGGUAAUGUGUUAUCAGAACUUACACUAGUGUCACUAAAGUUGAUGUACAAUGCCCCCACUGCUAAAUUUGACUGCUUUAA
ensembl:misc_RNA Y_RNA Y RNA